CUUGAAUUAGUAUUAACAUUAUAUACAAACAAUUCGAAGUCGUCAGGUUAAAAACUAGAUAUAUGGCUCCGAAAGACCGCGGAAUAAUUUCAAAUUUUAAAUAUUUCUUGAUUUGGCCAAUGAAAGAAAUAUUCUUGUAAAUGUUCAAUUGAGUAUGGAACCAAUGAUUUAGUCGUAAAUGUUUCGAUGUUAAAAAUACCAUUUCUGAGUUUAAUGAAGUAUGCUGUCAAUGCAUUGUCAAAAUGUUAAGGCACUUUGAGGAAAAUAAUUUGCUUGAAGCAAUGAAAUUUGUUGUCAAGCACAAUUUCUUGCCAACCACUUGACAACUGAUCUCGCAUUACAACGAAUGGACUUAACUUGGCAUCUAAACAUCGCGAUAAAAUUAUUAUUUUCCAUACUCAAGCGAAAAUGUUGGUCUGUUCACUAAAAUCAGUUUGUGUUAAAAAAAGCAUGUUCGAUUUAUACUUUCGUCUUUGAGCCAUAUAUUUUCUUUGCAAAACAACUUGGUGUUACGCUUUUGAUUUCUCAAUGUAAAGUUUAUCAUUGGAGUUGUUUUACAAUAUUUAUUUUGAAGUAUAAACGUUUAUCUUGAAAAGACCAGGUUCUCUUGUUUCCUCAAGAAUUAACUUUUUUAAUGUUAAUUCGUGGGCAAACAAGUUUUUUAAUGUUGUGUUUUCACUUGUGCUUAUUCACUUGUGUUGAACACAAUGUUAAUUGUUCUCUUUGUGCCAUGUUCUGUUUUCUUCUAUUGUUAUUAUUUAAAUAAGUAUGCAGUGGUUGUUCUCUUUUUAUUGGUAUUCAAUUUGUAAUUACAAUUCUUUUCAAUAAAUUGUUCAUUAAUUAUACACGUGACUCCUUUUUAAUUAAAAAUUCAAUUCCCAUGGGAAUUGAAAAAAAAAAUUAAAAAAAUUCCCCUACCCCGGCCGGCUCCCCAAGUGCUACCUCUACUUCAAGCAGAAGUACUUCUACUAUGCAGUAAAAGUACUUCUACUUAAAGUAGAGGUAGCACUCAGAGAGCCAGCCG